GCUUCAGUAGCUUAGGUCAAAGCAUCGGUCUUGUAAUCCGAAGAUCGGAGGAUAAGCCCCUCCCUAAAGCC
rnacentral:tRNA from 1 species